GAUGAACGCUGGCGGCGUGCCUAAUACAUGCAAGUCGAGCGAACAGACGAGGAGCUUGCUCCUCUGACGUUAGCGGCGGAAGGGUGAGUAACACGUGGAUAACCUACCUAUAAGACUGGGAUCACUUCGGGAAACCGGAGCUCAUACCGGAUAAUAUAUUGAACCGCAUGGCUCAAUAGUGAAAGACGGUUUUGCUGUUUCUUAUAGAUGGAUCCGCGCCGCAUUAGCUAGUUGGUAAGGUAACGGCUUACCAAGGCAACGAUGCGUAGCCGACCUGAGAGGGUGAUCGGCCACACUGGAACUGAGACACGGUCCAGACUCCUACGGGAGGCAGCAGUAGGGAAUCUUCCGCAAUGGGCGAAAGCCUGACGGAGCAAUGCCGCGUGAAUGAUGAAGGUCUUCGGAUCGUAAACCUCUGUUAUUAGGGAAGAACAAAUGUGUAAGUAACUAUGCACGUCUUGACGGUACCUAAUCAGAAAGCCACGGCUAACUACGUG
rnacentral:rRNA from 1 species